CUUUCCACUUGUGAGCUCUAGAACCUUCUUUAGGGUUGUGAUCCCAUUUUCCUUGUUCCAGUAGCAAUUCGGAUUCUCGUCCACCCAACUCUUUGUUUUUGUGGUGGUUUUGAUCAUUUAAUGCUCUGAUUCUACUCAUUACUUGUGUUUGCAGUACCAAUUACAAUUAAUUUUGAAGUGCCAUUUAUGUUUUAUUCCCUCCUUUUUCUCUCUAUCUAUAUCUCUCUGUCACUCGUUUUGUUUGUUUCUCGUGAUCUUGCCUCUCUGUGAUGAUGUCCUGCUGCCAUUUACACUUCUCAAGGAUUUUAAAGAUUAUUAUGCCUAAAUUUAGGCCAGUGGUAUGGAGAAGUAAACCUGGUGCGCUAUCAUUACGAUAUUUGGUAUCGAUCUUCCCUUUUGCCUAAGGUAUGUGACCUCUCCUUAUUUAUGCCUUUGCUGGGUUUAUUUACGAUCACUGCUUGUUCAUCUUUAUCCUAAAUUAAGGAAAAUUAGAACCCUAAUUUCUAUUAUGGCUUCGAACCUUGAUGAUGGUUUACAAACGAUGUCCCAUUCGCUGUCACGAACUCAUGAAGAGAAUAUUGUUCAUACCCUACUUGAAUCACCAGAGCUGUUGGUGACGUGGCAAGAAUUUUCGACACGUGGCCGAACACGUGGCAGAGAUACUGCUCGCCUAUCGACCUGAAAUAUUUCUACAUGCGAAGUUCAAGUUUUAUAUAUGACCAGACUGGUCGUAUACUUCGUGCAUUUAUGUAAAGAUCUGUACAGUUGUAAUGAUAUCCGAGAAUAUCUCUUCAUUAUGACCUGAAGAUCCGUUUAUUAAGGAAAGAUAUUAUUAUUAAAUUCAUGUAAUCCUUCUUGAGCCUAUAAAUACAUAAGAAAUAGCUCAAGGGAGGGAUCUUUUUCUCUUUUUCCGAAUUAGAUUACUAUUA